ensembl:processed_transcript
GUACAUCUCCAGAGCACCCCUGCCUCGGGCUAUCCAAGGAUGAUGUAACCAAUAUAAAAGUACAAUCGAGAAUAAAAAAGCAACACAACUGCAGAUGUCAAGAGCUCAUGGGAUGGAGACGCAGAAAAAAAGCUGUCAUCAGUCACUGGAGAGAAUCCACAGACCCUUGUGCUCAUUUUGAUUGGCUGAGACAAAUGUAAGCAGCUUGAUGCGCUAUUUCAGACUUCCAUAUUCACAGGUGAAGUAUACAAGAACUGCUCAUUGGACUCUUCAAAUCUCUGCUGUUUUCUCCAGCCUGUGCUGGAGCGUGAGUGGCAGGAAGGGGAGGAGCCACAUGAGUUCAUCCAGGUGGGCUGUGGUGGGACUGGAAUCGUACAGAUCAGGAGACGGCAGCGUAGAGUCACCCCACAGUCUGUCUCGCUCGUUCAUCUAAAUGACAAACACAACAAAUAAGAGCUUUAGAUGUAUUGCAUCUUAAUAGUUUAUUACUCCAUAUUGAGCAUUUAAUAAUGUUGCCUAUAAAAGCCUGGCCUCUGCUAU